rnacentral:lncRNA from 1 species
UUGCUCAGGUAGAGUGUCUUCGGAUUUCUUCUUUUAAUAUUCUAUGACUUGCAGCAUCUAAUGAUUGCAUACCAAUUUGUACAGGUUGGGCAUUAUUUAGCUAGUUUUGUUGGCUCUACCCCUGAAGCCUCAAUGUUAGAGUUUGUUGCAAUGAGAGAGGAGAUAGACUUACUGAAAUAUCACUUGGAGCAGAUAGAGUCAACCAAC